rnacentral:ncRNA from 1 species
CGGGGAUGUGCGAUCUCCCCGAGAGGCGCCAUGCCCAAGAAUCGC